ensembl:antisense zinc finger, imprinted 3
CAUAUUUGUUCCAUCACCCUUACUGACCUAGGGCUUGUGUGGCAAGAACAGCCUCGACAGAUGCACAGACUCCUGAUCUGUGAAGGCUGGGUGGUAAAGGUCAGGCAUGGCGGUACUUGCCUAUGAUUUCAGUACUUGUGAAGUGGAGAUCGAAAGAUCAGGAGUUUGAGAUCAUCCCAGCCCUAUAUUCCAAGCAAAUCUUCCUCCCCAGGGAUAUCUUGGCUUGAAAAAAAACAAGAAAUGGAUGAUUUCCAGCGGAGAGUGACCUUAGAGGACGCCACUAUGCGCUUCACCCCAGAGAAGUGGCAGGGGCUGAACACUGAGCAGAGAAACUUGUAUAAGGAUGUGAUGUUGGAGAACUUCAGCAAUCUGGCCUCUGUGAGUGACAGAGAUGACUGCCUGAAGUCUGAAAUACACAAGCACCUGCUUGAGGGUGUUUUGUCUGCGUACUACGAAGCCAGAAGAGGCCAGUUGAUUCUCUGGAACUGAAGAUGUGCUAAGGACCUUGCACUCAGAUGCCUUUUUCAACAGUUCCUCAAAAAUCUCAUUAUGCAUGUAAAAGAAGAUGUAUCCGCUGUUUAGCCUGUUCUCCUGAAUGGAGGGAUCUGAACUCUCGAACACUUGGACAUCACUGUAAAGGAGCCAGGCUUGCUUUUGAAAGUCAUAUACAUCACUUACGUAAUGGCCUGAAUUUGGGGAGCUCCCAAAGUGGCUGACCACACUGACGAGCCUGUAAUUCUGAAGAUCAUCUCCCAUCUCACCAUCUUUGGAAUCAUCAGAACCAAAUGCAAAGGAAUGUGGGUCAUCUUCCUGCAAUUCUGGAGACCUACUCAGGUCCUUCUCUGGGUCUUCCUGAGAACUAACACUUGCAAGGGAUGCCGGUAGAAACAAACCCUUGAUUCGACUUCCAUGAUUCUGGUAGAGUUUUGACAACUCAGUGUUAGUGCGGCCAUCUGACUUUCCAUAUAUGUUAAUUUUCUCAUAGUUCUUAAAUUCUGGAUUCUCUGGAACCUCUUGAAGACCCAUCUCUGCAAGACCUGGAUCUUGGAUGCUCAGAGGCUCACAGAGCAUAGGAAGGAAGCUGUAUCCGUCACCCAUCAUUGAGUCAGUUGCUAGUGAUGUCUUUUGUCUGAGUAUCCGGUUUUCUGUCUUCACUAGUUCUGGCUCCAGCAUGGAGCCACUUUCCAGGCCUCUCUGCUGCUGCUCCUCACUUGCAUCUUCAUCCUCAUACAUUAUCUGGAAGCUUUGUAUUUCAGCAUCCACACUGGAUCCAACCUGUAGAACCAUGGGGUCACAGGAUUCUGAAAUCACCUUCUUAGAUGACAUUGACUGGUUGAAGAUCCCAGGCAUCAUCCCUUGAGAGACAUCUGGGGAUGUAUUAGCCAAGGGAAAUGGUAGCUUCCUGUUUUCAUGGCAGUGGGAAGAUAUAUUUAAAUACUUAGAAAUCUCAACUGGCUGCUCACUCUUCACUGGCAACAAGUCAGUGGUAACUUGGUAGCGUUUCAGAUGAACAAUGAGGACCCUGGGGAGUCUCCUCAAUGUGUACUUGAGAACAGAAUUCUUGUUCUUGCAUUUCUCACAGUUAUGCUCAAUUUUUUCUGGUGUAAAGAAAAGAUCAAAAGACUUUUGAAUUGAUAGAGGGUGUGUUUUUGUCCCGUGGUGCAGGUCAAUGGAGAGGUAAUUACUCACUUCGGUUUUGAUAGUAGCCUCACCACAGCCUUCACAGAUGAUGGAGCUAUGCAGCUCAAAUUCAAAAUUAGCUCCAACGGGACAAACAAACCUUUUGGUGCCAGCAGACCCAGCACAUGUGUUUCUCCUCUCAGUAUCCCACAUGGCAUUUACUUUUUCCAUGUUCAGUUUCAGCUGGUCUAAACACAGACUUAAAAACUCAUGGGCAUCGUUCUGUUCAUUGCCCGAGAAUGUGUCUGCAACUGUGGAAAUGGACUUCUUUACACUGGUGAGUAACUCCCCCUUGAUCUCUACAUCCCGAAUGUCUUUCAAGACAAGGAGCUGGCUUAAGGGCAUGAUAAGGUCAUCGUAGGAGACUUUCUCCCAUGGGAUGCCUUGAGUGAGUAAGUCCUUUGCAAAGGUUGGAAUCCCAAAGACAGAUUGUAAAAUGGAAUUCAUGUAACAAGUAUUUCCCAAGUUUGGGAAGCCUUCACGUUUUAGUUGAUUUAGGUAAGGGUCAGGAAGAGAUUGGACUCCGUUAUGUGUUAUGAUCUCCAGUCCAAAUAUUGAUACAUCUCUGUCAUCAGAGCAUGUCGCGAUUGGAAGGAUAGUGCCAUCCAGGUUAGCCCUUCCAUAGGAUUUGGAAUUGAAAGCAGGUUCAAGUUUCCAAUUGCUACGCUUUUCUUGUUCUCUUAAGGUCACAGCUUUCUCUGCUUUGCCGCCUCUGUUCCUGGAAUAAUAUCGCCUGGAUUUCUUUUUUUGGUCAGGAGUAUUUUCUUUGGGAAUGUCCUUGUUCACUUCUGCGCUGGAUGAGGAUGGUUCUGUCUUCCUCUUUCUGCCUUGUUUUUCUCCUCUCUUUUGGCCGCCCGUGGUGUUUGACAUAGAAAGUGGCAUCUUGCGGGACAGUGGUGUCCCACUUUCUGGAGUGGUAUUCAGGGAUCCGCAGGCUGCCUCCUGGUGCUCCCUGCAAAAUGGAUCACUGCUUUCAAGGUCAUCCGGACUACUCAUGGGCUCCAUGGGUUGCUGGGACUCACAUGGAGUAGACGAAUCCAGGAAUGACUUCAAAUGUUCAACAUCUGCAGAGGAUAACUUGUCGAUGAGUAAGGAUGUGUCGUCUCUCAAAGUUAAAUCCAGAUGGUACAGUCCCAGCUCACCACUAACCACUACGCCUGUAACAUUAUCACCCAGCUGAAACACCCUUCUCCUUUCUUCCAAUUUGAAAGAAACCACCAGAUUAACUUUCUGUUUUCUUUCUACUAUUUCGAUGACUGCUUCCUUCCACUGAGAUGCCCUGGUGUGCUUGCUCCUGUUUGUGCUGCGGAUCUGGACCAAACCAUUUAUCUUUAGUGGUAUUGAGUACAACAGGCUCACAGUUGAAACCGAGAAACAGAAAAGGAUUCUGUGGCAGCCUAUCCCCCACCCCAAAGAGACAGUCUAGACAGGAAGCCGAUAGACAGAGGCUGUAGCUGGGAUCCUGAGAAGUAGUUCUGGCAGGGGUGGGGGUGGGGAAGGACUCAGUUCUCUUUAAGGGCUGCCCAUUGAAGUUUGACCAUGCUCCAGUGAGUAUAAGGGCAACACAAA